UGUAAUAUUAUAAAAAAAAAUCACUAACCCGAAAUUAUAUUAAAAUAAAAUUCAAAUUCAAAUUCAAAUUCGUUUAUCCAAUCAAACUUAACCUAACCUUAAAGCUAAAUACAUUAGGUGUUGUACAUAUUAUGUUUAGUGAUAGGUAUGUAUCAAUCAUCGGUUCAAGACUGGCAUCUUUGCUAGGUUACCGAGAAGAAACGAAAAUGGCCAAGAACAAGACGACGACAUAAUCUUCGAAGACUUCGCGCGCCUCAGGCUGAAGGGCGCGGACGCUGAUGCUUGAACAUUAUGCUAACAGCGCUCUCUUACUGAACUACAUUCUAUAUUUUGUUAUACCAAACGCACAAUUGUAUCGUACUUUUUGAAUUUUCAUAAACAACAUUGUUCGUUUUGAAAUCCAUCGAAUGACCAUAGACACAAGAAAUAAGUGUUACCAUCCUUAGCGAAAAGUGUUAUAAUCUGUAUUAAAAUAAAAAUGAUGUAUAAAAUCA